rnacentral:rRNA from 1 species
UUGUCCGGAAUGAUUGGGCGUAAAGGGCGCGUAGGCGGCCUGCUAAGUCUGGAGUGAAAGUCCUGCUUUCAAGGUGGGAAUUGCUUUGGAUACUGGUGGGCUGGAGUGCAGGAGAGGAAAGCGGAAUUACCGGUGUAGCGGUGAAAUGCGUAGAGAUCGGUAGGAACACCAGUGGCGAAGGCGGCUUUCUGGACUGAAACUGACGCUGAGGCGCGAAAGCGUGGGGAGCAAACAGGAUUAGAUACCCUGGUAGUCCACGCGGUAAACGAUGAAUGCUAGGUGUAGGAGGUAUCGACCCCUUCUGUGCCGCAGUAAACACAAUAAGCAUUCCGCCUGGGGAAUACGGCCGCAAGGUUGAAACUCCA